rnacentral:rRNA from 1 species
AUACGGAGGAUCCAAGCGUUAUCCGGAAUCAUUAGGUUUAAAGGGUCCGUAGGCGGGAUAAUAAGUCAGUGGUGAAAGUCUGCAGCUCAACUGUAGAAUUGCCAUUGAUACUGUUGUUCUUGAGUUAUUGUGAAGUGGUUAGAAUGAGUAGUGUAGCGGUGAAAUGCAUAGAUAUUACUCAGAAUACCGAUUGCGAAGGCAGAUCACUAACAAUACACUGACGCUGAUGGACGAAAGCGUAGGUAGCGAACAGGAUUAGAUACCCUGGUAGUCUACGCCGUAAACGAUGGUUACUAGCUGUUCGGGCUAAUUGAGGUCUGAGUGGCUAAGCGAAAGUGAUAAGUAACCCACCUGGGGAGUACGUUCGCAAGAAUGAA